UACGUAGGGUGCAAGCGUUUGUCCGGAAUUAUUGGGCGUAAAGAGCUCGUAGGCGGUUUGUCGCGUCUGCUGUGAAAACUCGGGGCUUAACCCCGAGCCUGCAGUGGAUACGGGCAGACUAGAGGUAGGUAGGGGAGAAUGGAAUUCCCGGUGUAGCGGUGAAAUGCGCAGAUAUCGGGAGGAACACCGGUGGCGAAGGCGGUUCUCUGGGCCUUACCUGACGCUGAGGAGCGAAAGCGUGGGGAGCGAACAGG
rnacentral:rRNA from 1 species